rnacentral:rRNA from 1 species
UACGGGGGGGGUAAGCGUUGUUCGGAAUUACUGGGCGUAAAGGGCUCGUAGGCGGCCAACUAAGUCAGACGUGAAAUCCCUCAGCUUAACUGGGGAACUGCGUCUGAUACUGGAUGGCUUGGAUUCGGGAGAGGAAUGCGGAAUUCCAGGUGUAGCGGUGAAAUGCGUGGAUAUCUGGAGGAACACCGGUGGCGAAGGCGGCAUUCUGGACCGAUAUUGACGCUGAGGAGCGAAAGCCAGGGGAGCAAACGGG